rnacentral:rRNA from 1 species
GAUGAACGCUGGCGGCGUGCCUAAUACAUGCAAGUCGAGCGAACGGACGAGAAGCUUGCUUCUCUGAUGUUAGCGGCGGACGGGUGAGUAACACGUGGAUAACCUACCUAUAAGACUGGGAUAACUUCGGGAAACCGGAUCUAAUACCGGAUGAUAUUUUGAACCGCAUGGUUCAAAAGUGAAAGACGGUCUUGCUGUCACUUAUAGAUGGAUCCGCGCUGCAUUAGCUAGUUGGUAAGGUAACGGCUUACCAAGGCAACGAUGCAUAGCCGACCUGAGAGGGUGAUCGGCCACACUGGAACUGAGCCACGGUCCAGACUCCUACGGGAGGCAGCAGUAGGGAAUCUUCCGCAAAGGGCGAAAGCCUGACGGAGCAACGCCGCGUGAGUGAUGAAGGUCUUCGGAUCGUAAAACUCUGUUAUUAGGGAAGAACAUAUGUGUAAGUAACUGUGCACAUCUUGACGGUACCUAAUCAGAAAGCCACGGCUAACUACGUG